AUUAUUUGGGGUCAAUACCCAGUAAUGUUUAGCACUGCUGAAUCAGGUUAUUUCUAUUUUAGGUUUUUUGAGGAAUCUCCGUUGCACCACCUGACCUUCCCAUCAACAGUGAGUGAAGGUUCCCUUUUCUCUGGAUCCUCACUAACACUUGGUCUGUCACUCCUUUCAGAUCCCUCUAAGAUAAACGUCUGCAAAAGAAAGAACAAUUCUUGUAAAAAGCCAGCCAGACUUCGCUCUGAGCAUACAAGCUCUGCCAGUUAUAGCCAGAGGUUUCUUUCUGUGUGCCAUCCUUACUCAACUGAAGGUGUCUGAUUGAUGCACUGUAGUCCAUUAUAAGCAAACUGUAAGUACCAAAUAUUUGGUGUAACUAUGCAGGCCUAUAAAUCAAUACAGCAUUGUGAGUGUAUUCCACUCAGCAUUG
rnacentral:lncRNA from 1 species